CUUAAAGACAGAACACUAUUUGAAGGAAGGGAAACUGAAAAAUACUUGACCUGUGACAGUGCUGCAUUUGAUAAUGAUAAGUAUUUCAUCAUUGGGCGAAUGAUCGCUGUGUCCAUGGUUCAUGGUGGUCCUGGGCCACAGUUCCUUUCGAAAAACUUGUUCAACUAUGUUUUAUGUGAAGGUAACUUUUCCCCUGAUACAAAAGAUGUUUGUGAUCCAGAAAUACAGAUGAUGCUACAAAAGAUCAAGUCAUCGUCCUCAGUGGAAUGUCUUAGGAGUAUAGUGGAGGUGCAUGCUACAAUGCUUAUGAUAGCGGGAU